rnacentral:rRNA from 1 species
GACGAACGCUGGCGGCGUGCUUAACACAUGCAAGUCGAGCGAUGAAGCUCCUUCGGGAGUGGAUUAGCGGCGGACGGGUGAGUAACACGUGGGCAACCUGCCUUAUAGAGAGGAAUAGCCAUCCGAAAGGAUGAUUAAUACCUCAUAAUAUUGUAGCUUCGCAUGGAGCAACAAUCAAAGGAGCAAUCCACUAUAAGAUGGGCCCGCGGCGCAUUAGCUAGUUGGUGAGGUAACGGCUCACCAAGGCGACGAUGCGUAGCCGACCUGAGAGGGUGAUCGGCCACAUUGGGACUGAGACACGGCCCAGACUCCUACGGGAGGCAGCAGUGGGGAAUAUUGCACAAUGGGGGAAACCCUGAUGCAGCAACGCCGCGUGAGUGAUGACGGCCUUCGGGUUGUAAAGCUCUGUCUUCAGGGACGAUAAUGACGGUACCUGAGGAGGAAGCCACGGCUAACUACGAGCCAGCCGCCGCCGUAA